rnacentral:lncRNA from 1 species
AAAUGUAGCGAGAAACUCCGCCCAACGUGCAGGGAUCCCAGCCAUCGUGUUUUAACGUGUAUCUUUUCAUUUCUUUGCUUUUCGCUAAACAAGACAUCGCUGUUUACACUUGUUAUCAUGCGAGCCAGCCAUGUAACUGGUUGCUAUUCCAAAGAAUCAACAGGUCUGCGUUUGGCACGCGAUAUGUAUCAUGGUGUAUGAAAUUCUUGUAAUUAUAUUGAAUGAGCUAUGAUCGCUGCAAUUUCUUACUAAAAUUAAUUUUAAUUACAGACUUUAUCCCUGUUGUUUUGUCGGCAAACUUAUUGCACGCACUUUGUAAUUGAAACGAUUAAAUUAGAAUUUGUCUGAAUUUAAAAAAGAUUUUUUAAUUGGAUGUUGGAGGAUGAGAAGAUGUGAAUUAGGAGAAACUUACCUGAGUGACAAACUACAGUAUGACACUAUUAUUAUCUUCAACGAAGUGUAAUUUAAUUAAAAAAUUACAGAUAAAGCAAUUAUAAUAAUUUUCUUGUUUUACUAGAAAAUAUUACGGUGCGAUAAAGUCGUUCUUUUCUAGAAAUUGAUAGGCAACAACUAUAUUACCAUUUGAACCUUAUUGACGUCUCUAUUCAAAUAUCAAAUCACUGAAGAAUCACACGUCACGAAAUGCGGCAAUAAUUGCUUCCAAGAAACCAAAUAAACUACUCGUCUCCAAGCAAAAAAACCUCUGCUGGUGAUCAGAGAGUUUCUAACCGCUCAGAAGUGAUGGAAGAACUGACCGCAUCUAGGAAACAGCGGAAUCUACUGCACUUCCUCCGGCCGCACCCAACCGAGGAUCAACUGUUCGAUUCGUACUGCACGCACGUCCAGUUAACAAGUAGAGAUCGUUAAUAAGAAUGGAAAGCAAACACCAUUUUUAUUACGUUCUCAAACGAACCGUCAUUUCGUGAUCCUAACGCUUCGAAAUUUCUCCAUUAAUUGAGAGGAAUUUGAUUGCUUCCAAAAUAUUUGAAAAUAGAUGAACGACGUGGAUAAAUGGACACGGUAAACUGAAAAUGUGCAUAAAGGAAGGAAAAUGUAGACAUUACACGCUUGACGUGAAUGGAGAAACGCGCGAGAACGGCGCGUCAUCGCAUUAAUUAUGUAUACGAGCUAAACGAUUAACGUACUUAAUCGAGUGUUUUUCGCGAUAUUUUUGCGUAAGCACAUUAAUCUUAUCUCGUUUUGGACUUUGCUUUCGAACGUAACGAGUCACGACACAGACGUAGCGUCUAUCACGCUUCUCGCGAACAAAGAUUAUUACGGUAUAUCGAAGAAAUAUUUGUAUAAAAUAAUCGAGGAUCAACGUACGAAGAAAGUGAUUUUAAGUAAUCUACGAUAGCGAUUCAUCGUUCCAGCAUGACCAUGAAUUAGGCAAAAACAGUCUCGCUUUCGAACAGGUCACGCAUAAAUUAUUUGAAUUGAAUGCAACCGUGGCUACACCGUGAAAGAAUACGCUAUUAAGACUGUUGGAAAAGCUUUUCAACGCGUCCAAUUAAUUUACAUGUACAGCUCGCCAAUUAAAAGUGAAAAUUGUUCGUAACAUGGAAAGUGAAAGAAACAAAACCGAAUAUUUACUUUUAUGUAGUGUGUAAUUGUUCGUGAAAUAAUCAACGCAACGAUGGAAAUUAAGAUAAGAACUACGGGAUAAGGGAUAACGCGUGAAACACGUGUGAAUUAUUACGAUUUUUGUACGAUUUUAUAGCCUCGUAAAUUUCUUAGAAUGAUCAUUUCUUUUGGUUUGAAUUUUCCUACGUUUUCCUAUUUAUAAGUUCUGCUUGCCAAACGGAUGUACUGUUUAAAAUAAUCAGAGCACGUUAAUUUAUCGCGUUCAAUAUUUCAGGAAUUUCACGUUCCAAAUAAAUCGGAGCAAGCAACAAAAAUCUUAUAAUUCAACCUUAAUAUCUAUCCUGUGCUGUAUAUUUAUGAAAAAAAAGACGAUUUGCCAAUUAUGUGAAACAGUGCAGCAGUUUCUUAAGACUAACGAGUUUCAAUAAAUACAAAACAAUAUCAAAAAUUAGUUAUUCGAUAACAUUUUAAUCAAACAAAAAUAUAUUCGUUCGAGUUACACUUGAGUAUCAUAAAUCAGCCUAGUAUACUUGACCAAAGGAAGCAUAACAAAUGUACAUAUGUAAAUUGAAAAUAAUAAAAUAUCUGCUUUUUCUUCCUUCCUCGA